AUGACACCGCCGGGGGGCGGGCACCCGGAGGCGGCCCAGGCGGGGGUCUCCCCCGGGGCCUGGGGCGGGCCGAAGAUGUCCAGGCCUGGCCGGAGCCGCCUCCUGAUUGACGAGGCCCGCAUGGGAGUGCGGACGUGCAGCACAGAUUUGCGGGUCUCCUGGGCCUCUUGGGCGGUGAUCAGCGCGGACCUUGGGCCAACCGGGGAAGCAGGCCGGAGCACUACCCCCCACCCCCAUUUUAGAACAUCCUUCUGAGGGCUUCGCUGACCUCGGCUUGAACUCCUUCAGAGCCGGAGAGAUCACUCCUUCCACCACCGAGGGAGAGGAGGCAAAAUGAAUUUGCCAGCUUUGAAUUCAUUCUCAAGGCUCCGCUAGUCUCACAGCCAGUGAACUCAGUCUGGAAUUCCUGAAAGCUCAGAAAACUGCUGCUUAGGUGGCAGCUGAGCAUCCCUGGAGAGGGUGGGUGGUAUGAAAGCACUUCCAGACCUCUAGGGACACCAGGGAGUCAUGGUCCCAGCACAUUGCUGUGUGAUUGAGCCCCUCCUCAGCCUGUGGGUGGCCUAAGUUCACAGGGAGGUAAUGGGGUAGAUUGGAUACCUCUGGGGUCUUGGAAGAAGCUAUGACUUAUUUACUGUCUACUAUGUGGCCCUGACAUUCUCCAGCUUUCAUGGUGUUCCUGCAAUCCAAGUGCCGCUUAUCUCUCUACAGGUCCACCAGAUGACCGGCUGGCCUCCUAAUUGGGCUUCCUGCAUUCCUGCCUGUGCUCGGAGCUCCCUUCUCCACUUGCCUGCUGGAGGAGGUUUACAAACAAAAUCAGAUCAUGGCACUCCCCUGGGGCCCUGCAUCCUGUGGCCAGCAGGUCUUGGAAACGCCCCUGUACCCCAGAAACUUCCUGAUCAGUCCCUGGUCAGUGUAUAUCAUGCUUCCUGUGACAUGACAUCAACUUUUCAGUGACUUCCACUGGUUUUGGCCCAGCUCGAAGAGCCUGACACCUCUGCAGGGAAUUCUACCAGGGAGCUCAGGAGGGGGAAUUGCACUGAAGAUUUGUCCCAUCGUGAAGCAAGAGCACUGGAACUUACACUCCACCAUCAGGCCCUGUCACAGGAGAACAAAGAAGGAAGGCAGAGGAGAUCAUGCUCCGGCCAGCAGGGAAUCUCCAUUUUUUUCAGCCUCAUACCUUGGAAAGUACAAAGGAGUGAGAGCUGGGACUACCAGCCAGAGGGUUCAUGGAGGUAGUGGGAGGGGAAGAUGGGUUCUGCAUGGAGCCACUCCAGGGACUUUUCUUCUGUCUCACAGCCUGACAAUCACCUCUAGCUGUUCUCAGUCCCAUUCUCAUCAAUGACCUCGUCUCCUGAUUUUGUACAAUAUCUAGGUGACCUUCUCUUCUUUCCAUCUUCAAACGCUUGAUCAUUGAUGCUCCCUUUUCUCUUCUCUCUCCUCCUGGGAAAAGAGAAGGACCAACAUCCCCCUUUCCCUUCCUCCUGUGCUGUCCCGACCCCUCUGAGACCUGGCUCUAGCAGUAAGUCCCUCUCUCUUCUGCAGCACCAGCCUCUGCCCAUCCCUGCCCUCUGCACACAAAGCUCUCACAUUGUCUGCACUUUAAGAACUUUUGUGGCAAACCCUGGCAAAUCCUGCCACUUGUUUCCACUCUUCUCAAAUGGCUUUGAGGUCAUCAUUGACCUAUCCCAUUUGACCCUGUCCUGUAUCUGAUGUUGUACCCUUUCUCCUUGAUCCCACUCUGGCAACUCUCCCACUCCCCUUUCUUGGAUCAACUGUCUUGCUCCUCAGUCUUGAUCAAUGCCUCCUUCUCUCUCUUUAGCCUUGGCCCUUUUUGGCCAGGGAAAUAAAUGUGAAAUACAUAAAGCUUCAUUUUAUCUUAUGAUUAUAGCUAUGUUGAUGUUACCCAAGACCUAAAAGUCACACUCUCUAAUUACACUUCCCUCCUGUGUUCUGGGUCCUCUUGGACCAGUCCUUACUCUGGCUCCCCUCCUGGAUGUCUCCCAGACUUCUAAUUAGAAUUACUGUUUCCUAUAUCAAGCUAAUUAUCUUUCCCACCAACCUCCUCCAUCCUUGGGUGAAAGCAUCACUUGGUUGCAAAAGUCAGAAAUCUGGGUUUCAUUCUUGCGGUAGGUAGAAUAAUGCCCCCAGGCCCCAGGUUUUGACAUCCGAAUCCCUGGGACUUUGCAGAUGUGAUUCAGUUUAGGAUUUUGAGAUGGGGAGAUUAUCUGGGAGAGCCUGAUGUCAUCAUAAGGUUCUUAUAAGAGGGAGGCAGGAGGGUUAGAGUGAGUAGUAAGAGAUGCAACAGUGGAAGCAAGAGGUUGGGGUGAUGUGGCCACAAGCCCAGGAGUGCUGACAGACAUCAGAAGCUGGAAGGGACAAGGAAUGGUUUCUCCUCUGGAGCCUCCAGAAAGAACCAGCCCUGCUGACACCUUGAUUUUAGCCUUGGAAGACUCAUUUUGGACUUCUGACCUUGAACGUUGUAAGAGAAUAAAUUUACAUAUUUUAAACUGG
rnacentral:lncRNA from 1 species